rnacentral:rRNA from 1 species
GAUGAACGCUGGCGGCGUGCCUAAUACAUGCAAGUCGAGCGAACAGACGAGGAGCUUGCUCCUCUGACGUUAGCGGCGGACGGGUGAGUAACACGUGGAUAACCUACCUAUAAGACUGGGAUAACUUCGGGAAACCGGAGCUAAUACCGGAUAAUAUAUUGAACCGCAUGGUUCAAUAGUGAAAGACGGUUUUGCUGUCACUUAUAGAUGGAUCCGCGCCGCAUUAGCUAGUUGGUAAGGUAACGGCUUACCAAGGCAACGAUGCGUAGCCGACCUGAGAGGGUGAUCGGCCACACUGGAACUGAGACACGGUCCAGACUCCUACGGGAGGCAGCAGUAGGGAAUCUUCCGCAAUGGGCGAAAGCUUGACGGAGCAACGCCGCGUGAGUGAUGAAGGUCUUCGGAUCGUAAAACUCUGUUAUUAGGGAAGAACAAAUGUGUAAGUAACUAUGCACGUCUUGACGGUACCUAAGCUGAAAGCCACGGCUAACUACGU